rnacentral:ncRNA from 12 species
UAUGUGGCUCUUGGUGGGGACGUGUUCCCCGAACAUUCCACAGGGAAAUGCACCUUGCCUUCAUGGCAGAAAAUUAAUCAGUCAAAAAUGUGUGUGGUAGGUAGAAAUAGUCGAAGCACAUAGAUUUC